AGCUUUGCGCAGAGGCAGUAUCGUAACCAAUGAGGAUUCGUCCGAGGUGCGAUUAUUGCUAGUUGAAAACUUUAACCAAUACCCCGCCAUGACGACGUGAAAUACCGUCGGCUACGGCAAUUUGUGAAAGCCCAUUCGUGGG